rnacentral:misc_RNA from 1 species
GUGAAUCAUCGAAUCUUUGAACGCAAAUUGCACUCUCCUCGGAUAGUAUGCCUGUUUGAGUGUCAGCCUAUAAAAAUCGACAUCGUUGCUGUUUCUCGGUGGCGUUCGUCGGAAAUUGGGGCAUCUUAAAGCCUUUUGUUUUAAGCGUCUUAAAAUUUUCUUUUAGUUCCAUGAACGUUUCUAAUAUCUAGUUCUUUACACGUUUAAGGUAUCGAUUUUGACUAUACGUGACCAUCAUAUCGUUUCGCUUCCAUAAUCUUUCAUUAACUGACCUCAGACAUUUAAGAGUAUCCGCUG